rnacentral:rRNA from 1 species
AUUGAACGCUGGCGGCAUGCCUUACACAUGCAAGUCGAACGGUAACAGGUCUUCGGAUGCUGACGAGUGGCGAACGGGUGAGUAAUACAUCGGAACGUGCCCAGACGUGGGGGAUAACGAGGCGAAAGCUUUGCUAAUACCGCAUACGAUCUAAGGAUGAAAGCAGGGGACCGCAAGGCCUUGCGCGUUUGGAGCGGCCGAUGGCAGAUUAGGUAGUUGGUGGGAUAAAAGCUUACCAAGCCGACGAUCUGUAGCUGGUCUGAGAGGACGACCAGCCACACUGGGACUGAGACACGGCCCAGACUCCUACGGGAGGCAGCAGUGGGGAAUUUUGGACAAUGGGCGGAAGCCUGAUCCAGCAAUGCCGCGUGCAGGAUGAAGGCCUUCGGGUUGUAAACUGCUUUUGUACGGAACGAAAAGGCUCUGGCUAAUACCUGGGGCACAUGACGGUACCGUAAGAAUAAGCACCGGCUAACUACGUG